rnacentral:rRNA from 1 species
GCGGCACGAGUUGUAGAUUGCAGGUUGGAGUCUGUGUGGAAGGCGGUGUCCAAGUCCCUUGGAACAGGGCGCCCAGGAGGGUGAGAGCCCCGUGGGAUGCCGGCGGAAGCAGUGAGGCCCUUCUGACGAGUCGAGUUGUUUGGGAAUGCAGCUCCAAGCGGGUGGUAAAUUCCAUCUAAGGCUAAAUACUGGCGAGAGACCGAUAGCGAACAAGUACUGUGAAGGAAAGAUGAAAAGCACUUUGAAAAGAGAGUGAAACAGCACGUGAAAUUGUUGAAAGGGAAGGGUAUUGCGCCCGACAUGGGGAUUGCGCACCGCUGCCUCUCGUGGGCGGCGCUCUGGGCUUUCCCUGGGCCAGCAUCGGUUCUUGCUGCAGGAGAAGGGGUUCUGGAACGUGGCUCUUCGGAGUGUUAUAGCCGGGGCCAGAUGCUGCGUGCGGGGACCGAGGACUGCGGCCGUGUAGGUCACGGAUGCUGGCAA